rnacentral:rRNA from 1 species
UACGUAGGGGGCAAGCGUUGUCCGGAUUUAUUGGGCGUAAAGGGCGCGUAGGCGGCCUGUUAAGUCGAACGUGAAAUCCCCGGGCUCAACCCGGGAACUGCGUCCGAUACUGGCAGGCUCGAAUCCGGGAGAGGGAUGCGGAAUUCCAGGUGUAGCGGUGAAAUGCGUAGAUAUCUGGAGGAACACCGGUGGCGAAGGCGGCAUCCUGGACCGGCAUUGACGCUGAGGCGCGAAAGCCAGGGGAGCAAACGGG